rnacentral:rRNA from 1 species
GAUGAACGCUGGCGGCGUGCCUAAUACAUGCAAGUCGAGCGAACGGACGAGAAGCUUGCUUCUCUGAUGUUAGUGGCGGACGGGUGAGUAACACGUGGAUAACCUACCUAUAAGACUGGGAUAACUUCGGGAAACCGGAGCUAAUACCGGAUAAUAUUUUGAACCGCAUGGUUCAAAAGUGAAAGACGGUCUUGCUGUCACUUAUAGAUGGAUCCGCGCUGCAUUAGCUAGUUGGUAAGGUAACGGCUUACCAAGGCAACGAUGCAUAGCCGACCUGAGAGGGUGAUCGGCCACACUGGAACUGAGACACGGUCCAGACUCCUACGGGAGGCAGCAGUAGGGAAUCUUCCGCAAUGGGCGAAAGCCUGACGGAGCAACGCCGCGUGAGUGAUGAAGGUCUUCGGAUCGUAAAACUCUGUUAUUAGGGAAGAACAUAUGUGUAAGUAACUGUGCACAUCUUGACGGUACCUAAUCAGAAAGCCACGGCUAACUACGUGCCAGCAGCCGCGGUAAUACGUAGGUGGCAAGCGUUAUCCGGAAUUAUUGGGCGUAAAGCGCGCGUAGGCGGUUUUUUAAGUCUGAUGUGAAAGCCCACGGCUCAACCGUGGAGGGUCAUUGGAAACUGGAAAACUUGAGUGCAGAAGAGGAAAGUGGAAUUCCAUGUGUAGCGGUGAAAUGCGCAGAGAUAUGGAGGAACACCAGUGGCGAAGGCGACUUUCUGGUCUGUAACUGACGCUGAUGUGCGAAAGCGUGGGGAUCAAACAGGAUUAGAUACCCUGGUAGUCCACGCCGUAAACGAUGAGUGCUAAGUGUUAGGGGGUUUCCGCCCCUUAGUGCUGCAGCUAACGCAUUAAGCACUCCGCCUGGGGAGUACGACCGCAAGGUUGAAACUCAAAGGAAUUGACGGGGACCCGCACAAGCGGUGGAGCAUGUGGUUUAAUUCGAAGCAACGCGAAGAACCUUACCAAAUCUUGACAUCCUUUGACAACUCUAGAGAUAGAGCUUUCCCCUUCGGGGGACAAAGUGACAGGUGGUGCAUGGUUGUCGUCAGCUCGUGUCGUGAGAUGUUGGGUUAAGUCCCGCAACGAGCGCAACCCUUAAGCUUAGUUGCCAUCAUUAAGUUGGGCACUCUAAGUUGACUGCCGGUGACAAACCGGAGGAAGGUGGGGAUGACGUCAAAUCAUCAUGCCCCUUAUGAUUUGGGCUACACACGUGCUACAAUGGACAAUACAAAGGGCAGCGAAACCGCGAGGUCAAGCAAAUCCCAUAAAGUUGUUCUCAGUUCGGAUUGUAGUCUGCAACUCGACUACAUGAAGCUGGAAUCGCUAGUAAUCGUAGAUCAGCAUGCUACGGUGAAUACGUUCCCGGGUCU